UCAUUGCCAAGAAAAGUUGUCCUUGGGGUUGGGGGCGCUUUAGUUGUUUGACGGGUGCACGAUGCGCGCGGUUUGUGUGUGUGUGUGCCAUGCUGUGUUCUGCAAUGCUUCGUUACCACGUUUAUCGAUUAUGCACGUUGGUUACUUGAUUCAAUGUCAAGUGUACCUUCCAAGACGAUCUAGGUCCUAGUCUCGUGACUGAAGGCGAGUGCGGACGUACAGCAGCCUUUUGACAAGACUGUCGCCGAGUGUAAGGUACAUUGUGGACUGUAAAGCUGAAGAGUGCACAGUGGAUGCCUGAUUUUGGAACCGAGUGUGAUCGUCUGGGCGGUGUGUUCACUCUGCGGGGAUGAUGGCCAGAGGAAGGAUGAUAGACAGACGACAGCUUGCAGACGAAGAUGGGAGCGUUCUACCUGUGAGCCUGGUCGAGCUUAUAUUUUAUGGUAGGCAUUUGUUUCAAUCUUUACAAAGAGCUUCGACAUGUUGCGCCUGCUCAUGAACCUAUUGCAACUUUUUUGAGGGAAUUCUAAGAUCAAAGAAACAAGA